rnacentral:rRNA from 1 species
GGUUAAGCGACUAAGCGUACACGGUGGAUGCCCUGGCAGUCAGAGGCGAUGAAGGACGUGCUAAUCUGCGAAAAGCGUCGGUAAGGUGAUAUGAACCGUUAUAGCCGGCGAUGUCCGAAUGGGGAAACCCAGUGCAAUUCGUUGCACUAUCGUUAACUGAAUACAUAGGUUAACGAGGCGAACCGGGGGAACUGAAACAUCUAAGUACCCCGAGGAAAAGAAAUCAACCGAGAUUCCCCCAGUAGCGGCGAGCGAACGGGGAGCAGCCCGGAGUCUGAAUCAGCUUGUGUGUUAGUGGAAGCGUCUGGAAAGUCGCAGGGUACAGGGUGAUACUCCCGUACACUAAAACACACAGGUUGUGAACUCGAAGAGUAGGGCGGGACACGUGGUAUCCUGUCUGAAUAUGGGGGGACCAUCCUCCAAGGCUAAAUACUCCUGACUGACCGAUAGUGAACCAGUACCGUGAGGGAAAGGCGAAAAGAACCCCGGCGAGGGGAGUGAAAAAGAACCUGAAACCGUGUACGUACAAGCAGUAGGAGCCCACUAGUUGGGUGACUGCGUACCUUUUGUAUAAUGGGUCAGCGACUUAUAUUCUGUAGCAAGGUUAACCGUAUAGGGGAGCCGCAGGGAAACCGAGUCUUAACUGGGCGUUAAGUUGCAGGGUAUAGACCCGAAACCCGGUGAUCUAGCCAUGGGCAGGUUGAAGGUUGGGUAACACUAACUGGAGGACCGAACCGACUAAUGUUGAAAAAUUAGCGGAUGACUUGUGGCUGGGGGUGAAAGGCCAAUCAAACCGGGAGAUAGCUGGUUCUCCCCGAAAGCUAUUUAGGUAGCGCCUCGUGAACUCAUCUUCGGGGGUAGAGCACUGUUUCGGCUAGGGGGUCAUCCCGACUUACCAACCCGAUGCAAACUACGAAUACCGAAGAAUGUUAUCACGGGAGACACACGGCGGGUGCUAACGUCCGUCGUGAAGAGGGAAACAACCCAGACCGCCAGCUAAGGUCCCAAAGUCAUGGUUAAGUGGGAAACGAUGUGGGAAGGCCCAGACAGCCAGGAUGUUGGCUUAGAAGCAGCCAUCAUUUAAAGAAAGCGUAAUAGCUCACUGGUCGAGUCGGCCUGCGCGGAAGAUGUAACGGGGCUAAACCAUGCACCGAAGCUGCGGCAGCGACACUAUGUGUUGUUGGGUAGGGGAGCGUUCUGUAAGCCGUUGAAGGUGGCCUGUGAGGGUUGCUGGAGGUAUCAGAAGUGCGAAUGCUGACAUAAGUAACGAUAAUGCGGGUGAAAAACCCGCACGCCGGAAGACCAAGGGUUCCUGUCCAACGUUAAUCGGGGCAGGGUGAGUCGACCCCUAAGGCGAGGCCGAAAGGCGUAGUCGAUGGGAAACAGGUUAAUAUUCCUGUACUCGGUGUUACUGCGAAGGGGGGACGGAGAAGGCUAUGUUGGCCGGGCGACGGUUGUCCCGGUUUAAGCAUGUAGGCGGAUGUUCCAGGUAAAUCCGGAACGUUAUCAACGCUGAGGUGUGAUGACGAGGCACUACGGUGCUGAAGUGACAAAUGCCCUGCUUCCAGGAAAAGCCUCUAAGCAUCAGGUAACAUCAAAUCGUACCCCAAACCGACACAGGUGGUCAGGUAGAGAAUACCAAGGCGCUUGAGAGAACUCGGGUGAAGGAACUAGGCAAAAUGGUGCCGUAACUUCGGGAGAAGGCACGCUGAUGGUAGGUGAAGUGACUUGCUCAUGGAGCUGAAAUCAGUCGAAGAUACCAGCUGGCUGCAACUGUUUAUUAAAAACACAGCACUGUGCAAACACGAAAGUGGACGUAUACGGUGUGACGCCUGCCCGGUGCCGGAAGGUUAAUUGAUGGGGUUAUCCGUAAGGAGAAGCUCUUGAUCGAAGCCCCGGUAAACGGCGGCCGUAACUAUAACGGUCCUAAGGUAGCGAAAUUCCUUGUCGGGUAAGUUCCGACCUGCACGAAUGGCGUAAUGAUGGCCAGGCUGUCUCCACCCGAGACUCAGUGAAAUUGAACUCGCUGUGAAGAUGCAGUGUACCCGCGGCAAGACGGAAAGACCCCGUGAACCUUUACUAUAGCUUGACACUGAACACUGGUCCUUGAUGUGUAGGAUAGGUGGGAGGCUUUGAAGUGUGGACGCCAGUCUGCAUGGAGCCAUCCUUGAAAUACCACCCUUUAAUGGCUGGUGUUCUAACGUGGGCCCCUAAUCGGGGUUGCGGACAGUGUCUGGUGGGUAGUUUGACUGGGGCGGUCUCCUCCUAAAGAGUAACGGAGGAGCACGAAGGUCAGCUAAUCCUGGUCGGACAUCAGGAGGUUAGUGCAAUGGCAUAAGCUGGCUUGACUGCGAGCGUGACGGCGCGAGCAGGUGCGAAAGCAGGUCAUAGUGAUCCGGUGGUUCUGAAUGGAAGGGCCAUCGCUCAACGGAUAAAAGGUACUCCGGGGAUAACAGGCUGAUACCGCCCAAGAGUUCAUAUCGACGGCGGUGUUUGGCACCUCGAUGUCGGCUCAUCACAUCCUGGGGCUGAAGUAGGUCCCAAGGGUAUGGCUGUUCGCCAUUUAAAGUGGUACGCGAGCUGGGUUUAGAACGUCGUGAGACAGUUCGGUCCCUAUCUGCCGUGGGCGCUGGAGAAUUGAGGGGGGCUGCUCCUAGUACGAGAGGACCGGAGUGGACGCAUCACUGGUGUUCGGGUUGUCAUGCCAAUGGCAUUGCCCGGUAGCUAAAUGCGGAAGAGAUAAGUGCUGAAAGCAUCUAAGCACGAAACUUGCCCCGAGAUGAGUUCUCCCUGACUCCCUGAGAGUCCUGAAGGAACGUUGAAGACGACGACGUUGAUAGGCCGGGUGUGUAAGCGCAGCGAUGCGUUGAGCUAACCGGUACUAAUGAACCGUGAGGCUUAACCUU